GGCUUAGCACAUGCAAGUCGAGGGGCCCCUGGGGCGAAGCUUGCUUCGCCUGCCGGCGACCGGCGCACGGGUGAGUAACACGUAUGCGACCUGCCCCCCGCAGGGGGAUAACCGGGAGAAAUCCCGACUAAUACCGCGUAACGCCGCGGGGCUGCAUGGCCCGGCGGCCAAAGGAAGCGAUUCCGGCGGGGGAUGGGCAUGCGGCGCAUUAGCUAGUCGGCGGGGUAACGGCCCACCGAGGCGACGAUGCGUAGGGGUUCUGAGAGGAAGGUCCCCCACACUGGUACUGAGACACGGACCAGACUCCUACGGGAGGCAGCAGUGAGGAAUAUUGGUCAAUGGGCGGGAGCCUGAACCAGCCAAGUCGCGUGAGGGAAGACGGUCCUACGGAUUGUAAACCUCUUUUGCCGGGGAGCAACGGGGUCCUUGCGAGGGCCCGAUGAGAGUACCCGGAGAAAAAGCAUCGGCUAACUCCGUGCCAGCAGCCGCGGUAAUACGGAGGAUGCGAGCGUUAUCCGGAUUUAUUGGGUUUAAAGGGUGCGUAGGCGGGCUGUUAAGUCAGCGGUCAAAUGUCGGGGCUCAACCCCGGCCUGCCGUUGAAACUGGCGGCCUCGAGUGGGCGAGAAGUAUGCGGAAUGCGUGGUGUAGCGGUGAAAUGCAUAGAUAUCACGCAGAACUCCGAUUGCGAAGGCAGCAUACCGGCGCCCGACUGACGCUGAGGCACGAAAGCGUGGGUAUCGAACAGGAUUAGAUACCCUGGUAGUCCACGCAGUAAACGAUGAAUGCUAGCUGUCCGGUUCUACGGGACUGGGUGGCACAGCGAAAGCGUUAAGCAUUCCACCUGGGGAGUACGCCGGCAACGGUGAAACUCAAAGGAAUUGACGGGGGCCCGCACAAGCGGAGGAACAUGUGGUUUAAUUCGAUGAUACGCGAGGAACCUUACCCGGGCUCAAACGCCAAAGGACAGCCGUUGAAAGGCGGCCUCCCUCCGGGGUCUUUGGCGAGGUGCUGCAUGGUUGUCGUCAGCUCGUGCCGUGAGGUGUCGGCUUAAGUGCCAUAACGAGCGCAACCCCCAUCGACAGUUGCUAACGGGUAGAGCCGAGGACUCUGUCGAGACUGCCGGCGCAAGCUGCGAGGAAGGCGGGGAUGACGUCAAAUCAGCACGGCCCUUACGUCCGGGGCGACACACGUGUUACAAUGGCCGGUACAGCGGUAUGCCAGGGCGCGAGCCCGAGCGGAACCCGAAAACCGGUCUCAGUUCGGAUUGGAGUCUGCAACCCGACUCCAUGAAGCUGGAUUCGCUAG
rnacentral:rRNA from 1 species